UGUUAGUGCUGGGGUAAGGGGGGGAAUUGGUGUAGGGGGGAGGGGGCCUGUGUAUGUAUGUAUGUGUGUGGGGUAGUGUGUAUGUAUUUAGUUGGCCGUGGUUCUUUGUGUGUGCCAGCAAUGUUGAGGGCGUGGGCGUGGUGCACACACACACACACACACACACACACACACACACACACACACACACACACACACACAGACAGACAUACAGACAGACAUACAUACAUACAGACAGACAGACAGCCACGCCCAGUUCCCAGGUAAACAGAAUCAAACAAACACUAGCAAGGCGUCUAGUUUGUAGUUCCAUAGCUUGACAAAAACAACAAACACAAAAAGUGAAACAAAAACAUCACAAAACAAAAAACUUGUCAAAAAAUAAAUAAAUAAAAAAAAUGAAAUUGUUCCCCCUUGCAAACAAACCAACAGAAAAUGGAUCACUUUUUUUUUUCCUCCCCGUAUUAAAAAAAAUGAUCAAAAAAUAAUAAAAAAAAUAAUAAUAAAUGACAGCUGUUUGUAUACCGGUUUCCCAUUUUCUGUUUCCCGUUUUCUUUGAUUGUCGCGUUAACUGAACUAACUAUAUUCUUGUCACUAUUUCGUUCCUCUCCCCGUUUUCUUUCGUUCUGUACAAGGAGGCAACCUUUUUUAGUAUAUUUGUAUAAAGAAAACGGAAAAAAAACAUUAAUUUCUAUAAGAGGUGAUGAAGGAAUGAAAAAAAAUGAAUUAUUAUUAUUAUUACGCUGAUGAUGAUGAUGAUGAUGAUGAUGAUGAUGAUGAUGAUGAAUAAACAAAGUGACUGGUGGAGUGUUUG